rnacentral:lncRNA from 1 species
CACUGUGGUCCCAGCUGUGGCCAAGCUGCCUCCUGGCUCAGCAGUGCUGCUCGGUGCCUUACUUUUGCAACCACGCUCUGGCCCCCACUCCCCCAGCAGGAGCUGCCCACCCACCAGCCACUUCUUUUUUAGCCUGUGCCUCUUAUUUUGAGACCAUUCCUCUCACUCCACCCCUAAACCACAUGCACCAGCACUGUGUACUCUGGCACAGGCUGGGUAGAGCACAGUACCCUCUGACCACCGUGCCCUUCCCUGGCAGGGGGACCCUGGGGACCCAGGUGAGGACGGUGCCAAGGGUGCCCGGGGUGAUGCUGGCUCCCCUGGACUGCCUGGAGAGAGGGGUGUGGAGGGCCCCCGUGGCCCCCCUGGCACACGGGGUGACCCUGGGGACCGAGGCCUGCCGGGAGAGAAGGUGAGAGCACUGGGGGCUGGGGGCUGUCCCAUAGCACUCCCAUCCCACCCCAAAGCUCCAACCAUCCUUCCCUGCUCCCUUCCAGGGGGAGCGUGGCCCACCAGGGCUGGAUGGCCGCAGUGGGCUGGAAGGCAAAGCUGGGCCCCCAGGGCCGGCUGGGCUGCGGGUGAGUGUGGUCCCAGUGGGGGGAAUGUCUGUGCCUGGGUGCCACGGGCAGGAGCUGUGGGACAGGGGGGUGAUGGGGUGGGAGGAGCUGUGCCUGGGGAUGAGUGGCCACAGACCUCUGCUCCAGGCUGGGGGUGCUCUGGAGGGGGGAUCUUCGGCAGGAUGGGAAUGUCCCUGUCCUCACCUCCUCCUUGUCUGCAGGGGGACCCGGGAAAGCCUGGAGAUCCUGGCCGGGAUGUAAGUACCUCUGGAGAGGGUGGGCUUAGGUUGUGUUCCUGCUGGGGCCAUCAGGCUUGCAAAGGACCAGU